CCGCAGGGCAUUUCGGGAGUGGUCGUUUCUCCAGCUGCGGCGGGCAGAAGUAGAGCAGAGGUGAGGGCUCCAGGUAGACGCAAGAAUCCUGAGUUUUAGCUCAGCAUAUGGAUAUUCAGCUGCAAGACCACAUUUCCCAGCCUCUGGCAGCUGGGUUUUGCCAUGUGACUACAUUUGGAGAAUGGAAGAGAGAGAGCACAAGUAGGCAGAGCGGCAAGCAGAGGGAGAGGGAGAAGCAGGCUCUCCACUGAGCAGGGAGCCUGGUGCGGGGCUCUAUCCCAGGACCCUGAGAUCCUGACCUGAGCUGAAGGCAGACGCUUAAUGACUGAGCCACCCAGGCGUCCCAGAAGAUUUUAUUUUUAAGUAAUCUCUGCACCCAAUGUGAGGCUCGAACCCACAACCAGGAGAUCAAGAGUUGCAUGCUCUACUGACUGAGCCAGCCAGAUGUCCCUCCCUGCAGAGAGAGACACAGAGAGAGACAGAACACAAGCAGGGGGGAGUGGGAGAGGGAGAAGCAGGCUUCCCGCUGAGCAGGGAGCCCGAUGCGGGGCUCGAUCCCAGGACCCCAGGACCACGACCUGAGCCGAAUGCAGAUGCCUAACGACUGAGCCACCCAGGCGCCCCUGCACAGUUUUGAUACAUAGUAUUUGCAUUCCUGUUUAAGUCUAAAUGUUUUCAAUUUUCCGUAUGAUCUCUUUUUUGACUCUGAGUUAUUUAGAAGUGUUUUUUUACAAAAAUUCUGAAGUCAUAUUUUUUUUGUGCAAGUUAUCUUUUUGUAACUGAUUUUUAGUUUCAAUGCAUUGUGGUCAUUGCUGUGGAGAAUGCCUAUUCCUUAAAGUUGGUGGAGAAUGAUUUAUUUAGAGCCUAGAAUGUGAUUAACUUCUGGAAGUAUUUUAUGUGUACUUAGGAAGUACAAAUUUUAAUUGUGUGCACAAUUUAACACACGUCCACCGGAUCAAGAUUGUUUACUUUGUUGUUUAACUCUUUCAUACCAUACUAUUUUCUUUUAUCCGUAUGAUUUAUCAACAGUGAGAGAAGUAUCCUGAAAUCUUCCACUGUAUUGGUGGAUGGCUCUUAGCUCCUUGUUUCCCUCUAGGACAGUGCAAAGCAAGGCCAGCUUAUUCUGGAGGUGACUUGCUUUGCCUUGCUGUAAAACCACCCAAACACAUGCAUUUGUUCAGAUUUCAAAACCACUUUAUUACCAAAAUGAACAAAAGGAGAAUGCUGUUUAAAUUAAAUAAAUUACACAAACAUUGCGAGUCCCGGGCUUCCCCAGGGAUCCCAUUGUCAUAGGUCAGUAUCACGAAGAACAUUCAAAAGUAUUGAAAUUCUGGAUUAUUUCACUAUCUUGCUCUCCUUUCCUGCCUCAGCCAUGUCCAGAGAGUGGUCUGUCUGACUUUGCUUAUGUUCUUUUCAAAGUCUUCCAGCAGUGAAGUUUUCUUCAAUGUCUCCUUCUACCCCAUGUGUUUCCAAUUUUACCUCCACCGUCUGAACGCUUGGUUCAAAGGACUCCUCUGCUUGGGAUGUCUUGAGGCUCUGUGACCUUCCCCUACCUCCUGGGCCUGAGUUGGACUUUGAAGGAGGUGGAGUAGGGGAGGAUGAGUUGUCAUUGGCUAAAGUUCUUGUCCUCCUGGAAUUUGGCACUUCGGGUGCUGGGCACGGUGAAUCCCAGAUAACAUUGUCUUUCGCCUUCCAAGUUUUGAGUUCCAUUGGCAGCCAGAUGGCAUAAUGAAAUCACAGAGAAGCAAUGCUUCUAGGCCAAGAAUCUGUUGGUUCUUUGCCAGCACCCUCUCCUUUAACUCUAAGAAGACUUGCUAGCUGACUGGCUCACUCAACAUACAGACACACAACGAGGGUACGCGGGUCAGGCUGAAGUUAGGAAUCUAGGAAUGGGGGCUUUUUUUUUUCAGGCUGGGCCAGCCCAACCUGUUGGGCAGGGUCAUUGAGUUGAAGGAGCUUUGGGAGAAGCAGUGGGGGAAGACCGAAAGGUUUUCUGUGCACUUCAUGGAAAUUUCCCCAAAUACUUGCACAUGCCAUCUAUUUGUUUUCAAGUCAACAGUAGGAUUCCUCUAUUAACCCCUCACAUCCAUGAAGACCAUACCCCUCUUUUCAUCUGUCCUAGAAGAAGAUGACUUCAGGUCCUGAGUUUGUUAAGGAAGCCCAUGGAGGAUGACCCAAUCUGGAUCAGCCCUUUGCCACGUUCUGCACCCACUUGGGGGAUGCCACUGGCCCUUGGGGGGCUUCCUCCCCUGCCUGGCCAAAGGAUCCAGGCCCCAAGCUGAUAAGGGAGAGUUAAAAUCAUUGGCUCUUUGCCAAGUGAAAAAGCACAAAGCCAACUUCCUAAGGGCAGGGGUGGGGGGUGCAUUUCUGAAGUCAAGGGGACCAUCAGGGCUCAGGUCCCACUAGCUGGCCCUUGGUUACCCCUAGGACACCCCACCUCCCAAGUCUCUAGUACAAGAAAGGAUUCCCAAAAGCUUUUAUGCAGAAUAACUGGCAUCUGUUACUAGGUUGCCAGAGGAUUCUGGUAGCUACCCACCCUGUCCUUUUUGGAUUCCCCUCUGGGUCUCAAGUGGAAGGGAGCAGCCCCUGAAGGCAGGGGGGAGAGAUCACAUUUCAGAGGCUGCUGCGUUGGUGGGCUGCCCCUGGGGAGGUAGCUCUGGUGGCCCCCGAGGGCCCUGGCCACCCCCCAGGCUAGAGUCUGAAGUGCUGAAUAGCCGUGGAGCUCCCAGCAGCCUUGAGAUGAGGAGGAAGGAGGCACAGUCAUCAAGACUAAAUUCCUGGGGUGUCGGGAACACGUGGUCCCAGGAGUGCACAGCCGCCAGGGACAGAGUUGGGGCAGCUGGAGGGGGCAAGCCAUCGAGUCCUAAGCAAGUUCAUCCCCGUGUCCUGUGAUAGCUUGACACCAUCUGACACCAAGCUGUUCAGGCCCAAGGGCCUUUGCACACUAGGUCAGCAGGGGCAUAAUUUUCCCUUCUGUUC